AUAUUGCGGCAGCGCAACUUAAAAGGGGGAGCCGGGCGGCGUAGGAGGUGAGAGCCGCCGCAAAAAUCGCUCGGCUGCAUUUUCUCUUCAAACUGGCCUGGUCGGAUGUGGCAUUUGAAGAAAGAAGGCGUGGGUCAAUAAUCAACCCGCACUUUCUCCUCCAAACUGCUGACACGACUCUCACCGCCUUCUCAGCUAAGCCAGCUGCAGGGAAGGCCAGCUUUCCGUGAGAACCUGCCAGGGGAGGGGACCGCCUGGGCCAAGAGGGCCGAGGGUUCCGAGGUGAGGGCUGGGGCAUCUGGGGCGCAUACCUUUUCACCCGCACCAAGACUGUGCUGGGCAAAAUGCUGGGACUGGACUUGAAGAGCCAUGGGAGUUGAGGGAGAGCUGGGGUGGGAGCUUGGGACAGGGUCUCUGCUGGAUGGUCCCAGACUAGAUGGCUUCCGGGCAGCUGGCUGCAGUGGGCACAAAUCUGGCUCUGACCUCAAGACUGGUCUCACACCCUGGCAUGCAGACCUCCGGGUUUGGGCCUCUCUGCUGAAAUCCACAGGACUGGCUUUUAGAGCAAGGCAGGUGAUGUGAUUAAAGGUAAUAAUUUAUGAUUGCUGAAGGUUCUGUGUUACUGUUUUUUAAGAGAAAAAUACCGCCUGCCGAUUUUCACUGCCAGAAAUUGCCCACUGCUGCGGCUGCGGUGUCUUUUCUAGGCAAAUCCCGCAGCCAUUCACCCUGUUCAGCCAAAACCACUGAGGUUAUCUUUGUGGAAAGGACCCCUUUGCUCCCCCAAACCCCCCUCCUCAGUCCCUGUGCUCCCUUAUGUCUUGCCCACGGGGACUAGAAGAAAACAUUUUCCCAGUGCUAGAAAAAUAUCUGAAAUAGCGAAGGUGUGCUUGUGCCUCUCUACCCUUUGCAGGGGCCUCCUUGAGAACAGGUCUGCGGGUUGGGGGGGGGGGCGCUGGGGUCCCUGCAAGGCUGUCUAUAAGCCAGGGAGGAAGGUAAGGCACAAGAGGCACUGAAAUCUGGGAAUGGAGAGGGAAAUUAAUGAGGAAAUACACUUGCCUGUGAGGUUGAGGCUGGCAUUUUGAGGGUAAAAGGGGACUAGCCUGUUUUUUAUAGCUGUAGUUUAGCUAUUAUGGAGUGGCUUUAGCUCCUUGCGUGAAGGAAAAACCAACUGGUGCUCUAUAAACUGGACUACUGGUUUCUUUUCACUGUGCACACUUUUAUACAGAACCAGUUUGAGAGUCCAUCCCUAGAUAUUUAUUCCGCUGGCUGGCACUGAAGUGACAAUAAAAAGAUGCCUUUAACAAACCUCUAUUCCCUCUCUCAUUCUUUCUAGCGAAACUAUAUUAUUUAUGAGUCUUUAACUGGGUCAAAAAUGCGCCAGAACUGGGUCAUAAAUCAUAUGAAAUGCUGACAAGUAAUUGAACAGCAAUUAAAGCUUACAUUUUAUUUCCAAGGGGUGUUUUAGGGCACUUGAAACCGCCUCAGUUAAACACGGUUAGCGCCCGAGGACGGCAGCGGGGGAGGGUAGAAGCAGCCUUUCCCUUCUGGGGAUGUAAAUCCCUCUCUAGUAGGGGAAACCUGAUUUGAUUUUUUUUUUUCAAGUACAGAAAGAAAUAAGAUUUUUUUUUGUUUAAGUCACGGAGAAAAUCUGAUUCCCGACUCCUUGUAGACACCCCUUUCCUCCACCCCAAGAUCUCCAAGAGCAGAGAAAAGUGAAGUUUCCUUCACCGUUUCAGGGAGUUUUCAUCCUUCCCAGGAGUGCUGGGUCUCCAAAGUGCAAUUAGCACAGGCUUUCCCAGUAAUUUGCAAGCAUGGUUUAUCUCUCAUCUGCUUCUAUCCUGGCUACAGCACUGUUUCUGGGGUCUGAAGCCGGAGAAAUGUCUGCCUCUGCUUCCUGCGGACUCUGCCUCGAAUUCUCUCUAGCCCAGGGUGCACCAGCCAGUCCUUAAAACUCUGCAAGCCAGCUGGGUGCAUUACAAUGGGGCAUACAGGCCAUGCACAUUAUGAAGCCCAAACCCAGUUCUGGCUCCCGAAAUUUAGACUAACAGAGCUUCUGGGCGUCGGGCACGCUUACCCCUAUCCUAAGCCUCUCCUAGAUCUGAACUGUCUUCACCCCUACCCGGGUAGAGUCCUGGGGAAACAAUGGCGCGUCCUCCGUCCUCCGGGUCUUGCACCUUCGGUCCCGCGCGUGGGAAAGCGCGUCCUCCAACCAACCCAGCACUGAACAAAGUGGCCUGAAGCAUCAUCAAUAAAAUGGCAGCGCGUCUGCACACUCAUUGAUUUCCCUCUCCCAGCUGCUCUGGCUGCCUAGGUCAGCCCUACCUCUCCAUCCCUGGCCGCCAGCAAACGCGGCCAAGCCUGGAGAGAUUCCCCUUCCCAUCCACCCAGCCCCCACCCCCUCCAGGCCGUCUCGCCGAGCAAGCGCCGCGCGGGCCACCUCGGCCAGAGCCGCUGCUUCGGGACCCUCCCUCCGCCUGCGGCUCAGCUCCUGGGACUCAAGCCCCGCUGCAGUGGACAAAGCCGCCAGAGCGCUGGAGGCCACCGGGCUCACCUCGCAGCCCCCAAGCGCCCUUUCCUUUACAUCCCCCUACACUUUCCAGAGAAUUAAACUCAGUCUGAGGUGCUACUGGAGAUCUUUCAGAUGGUUUCGGUUCUAUGAGAGAAACAAAGGAAGAGAGGGGCUGAGGGUCCUGUCGGUGAACCAGGGUCUCCUCGCCUGACCUUUGUCUCUCACAGCCGUAACUCACUCUAAAUAUGAACAAUCGGCGGAAAUACCUUAAAAUAAAUUCCAUCCUCCUGGUGUGGCCUCGAGUCCCAUCGGCUAGCUCGCCCAGAACCGCUCCAUGAGCGCUGAAAACUGCAACCCGCUAGGAGAGCGCUCUCCGGAGAAGGGGAAGGAGAAGGAGGAGGUGGGUGCGUGGGGGUGGGGGGAAAAAGCUCUCGCUCUGUAGAGAAUCUAGAAAACGUAAUCACAGGCGAAGCCCGCCCGGGUCUCCGCUCCAAAUGCCACAAUAAUGCGCUGUAUUAUGUGCUCACGUGGUCAUACGUCAACUUAAAUCCUUUUAUUUGAAAUAGGAAAUCACUGAAGGGACUAGGUUUCCAAGCAGAACAUUCAGCUUUGGGGGAGGGGAAGUGGGGAACCUUGCCCAGCAGUGGGGAAGAGUUUCAUCUAGGGCAGUAGGACGCUGGGGGCACCCCCCCCCCAACAUGUGCCACACUGGGCCACUUAUCUCCACUUAUAUUUCUGUACAAAUGAUCCAAACAGCAAUGCUGUCCCCAUUCUCAGAGUCUAUGUAACUUUCUGUACAGUCUUCCACACGCAGACAAGCUGAAGCCUGCACACCCAAGCACGCCAGUCUCCUCUGGCCUGCUAGCCAGUACGUCAAAAGGCAAGGCCCGGGCCCUGUUUCCAGAAGAAAACCCAGUAAUGACUGGCUUAGUCAGUGGACUCCCUCAUGGCCUGCCAUUGUAUGGAGUUUGCUACCACCCACGCCAAAAGGCCCCAAAUUACCUGACAAAAGGCUAAGUUGAUUUUGUUCAAUGGGAGCCCUCUAGGGAAGAGGUGCUUGCCUCUAGAGUGGUGGGUCAGGGUUUUGCAAAAUCUGGAGGGACUCAGUGCCCUGGCUAAACCUACACUUGCGUACUUCCUCAGUGCACAGCUGAGCGAUACAUGAAAUUAUAGGCUUCUAACAAUGGAAAAUGUAAGGGGAAAUGAUCUAAUUGACUCUGUAAGAGAAAAACUAUAUAUACAACCAAUCUUUGCUGGCAUCCCUUGAAUUAACCUACAAGGUAACCUGGGACCCUUUUGCAGAUGGGUCUGUCCACCCUCCCCUAAGACAAGUCUGUCCACCAGCAGAAAAUGAACAGGACCAACUCUGCUCUGGAGCAACUGAGCUGAACCAACCCCCCCCCCCCCGGCCCUGCCCUGCUUCUACUCCUGACUUCUGCUUGGUGACACUGUCUACUGAUUGUAACACUUCACCCUCUCAGGACCUGCCUUAAAAGUUUCUCUUUUCAGGUCUUAGUUUCUGAACUUCUUAGUUUCUGAAGUGGUGGGCUCCUGGUGCCUUAUUCUUUUCUUUCUUUAGAGUGGAUCUUCAGCUGGCUAGGCCUCUCUAAGAGUGAGGACUCACUUAUAGCAGCUACAGGAUUCCUCCUCCUCCUCUUCUGCCCUGCAGGGGCCUAGUGAGAAUGUAAGGCCCUCAGUAAGGGGGCCUGGUCACGGGGGUGUCCAAAUCAGAAGGGCAAUAAAAGAGGAGGAGACCUAAUCCUUUGGAAGUGAGCCCUGGCCUACGCUGGUGGCAGUAUUCCAACAAAGUUCUGUCUGUGGUAGAGCUGGGAGAGAACCUCUCUGUGAACUGACCCAACUCUGACCUAAGCCACAAGCUGGAAAGUGAGAACCCAAAGUGCAAACCUACUUCUCUCAGGUAUGGGGUGUGGGGGAUAGAACCAAAGGCCGGUUUCCCAAAAAGCACUCUGCCGUCCCCCAAGGACUCACACAACUAACACAUUGUCCUCUGCUCCCCUUAUGCAGUCCCCCCACCCUGCCUGUGCCAAAUAUUUCACACCGAACUCUCCAGGUAGCCUAGAAAGGACCUGGAAGUAUUGCCAAAUUGCUGGCAAACUCCCAUCUCCCCCAACCAAAGUUUCUGCAGAGACUUCAACUCAAAGAUGAGAAGGGGCCCCCUUCAGAACUCUCAGAACAGUCUGGAGCAAAUCGUAACUCCGAGGCCAUAAAUCAAUGAGAGAAGUAUUUGGUACUGCUUCAGAGAAAUGCCUUAACGCCAGGAAGGCCCAGCGGCAUCUCGGCUCUAGCCAGGAGCCUCCAUUGCCGCUAUUAACAGCCCAGUUAAUGCUCCAACUGCUGUUUAACAAUUAACAUUAACGACUUGGGUUGGAAUGGGGUGAUUUGGUGGGAUGUGGAGGAAAAAAUCUGAGGAAGUCAAAAGAAAUUUAACUUUUGAGGUGAAAAUGGCUUUCCUAAGAGAGACCUUGGUCUGGGCAGGCCACCAGGGAACCAGCAGCUGAGAGUCCUCCCUCACCACUCUGAAAUCCACUCUCCUUGAACAAGGCUAUGGACCUUUUAAAGUUCAUUUCCAGAGAACGAGAAUAGAGAUACUCAAGUAUCGAAGCCCAGCCGGGAAAAUCUAGCUACCGGUCCCCCCUUCCACUCCAGCCCCCAACCUGGCCAGGGCUGGGGACACAUGCCCUGAAUCCAUUUCACCAGAGCCAAAAGUUGUCUUGGAAGGAGCAGGUGAGCAUGGAUACAGGGCUUUAGUCAAUAUUUGCAAGGCUGUUGGCAGAUUAGAUAUAUCUGUAUCCAAACACUGCAAUCUGAUUUCUCUGUCAAAAAUACACUUAACAUUUUUCUCCCUUUAGUUAGCUCUAGUGGUUUUUCUUAGUGGCUGGUAAGGCCUGCUUAGCCCACUUUUGUCUGUGUGUGUGUGCGUGUGUGUAUGUGUAUGUGUGUGUGUGUGUGUGUGUGUGUGUGUGUGUGUGUAUGUAGGUUAUAUAUCAUUAUUUAACAUGAGAUAUUUCCUGUGGGUGCAACUGCAGUACAAAUGGGCUCCAAGUUCUCUGGACACAUAUGGAUGUGUAUAUCAUUUUAUACACAUGGUCUCCAACUCCUGUGACUAUGUACACAUGCAGUGAUUCUGUUGUGUGCAGAGAUUCAAAUCAUAUGUACACAGUGAGUUGCAAAUUCCUAAAAUACUCAACCUAUAUUUGAUAAUAAAUAGACAUACAGGAGCUGAGAAAGUAACCCAGGUUUACUAUCCCCCUGUUUACCUUCUAUCUGAUAAGAUAAUAAUUGUAUCCAGAACAACAUAUCAGCCUUACAGCAUCACUGAAUAGCAUGUUGCACUUAAUUAACAACCUGAUAUCUAUUUGGGGAGCAAAUUUUAGGGAAGACUGAGGCCCGCGGAAUAGAAAACAAAAACUCAGAAAACUUUUUAAAAUAAAUAACUCCUGAAAGAACAAAGCAAACCCAUUCCUUCAUACCAAGCUUCUGAAAGCUAUUCCAACAGCCCCUCCCCCAAACAGGCACAAAAUUUAUGGAUCUUUUACAAGGUAAUAAACCACAGUAAUUACCUCCCUGCAUCCCAAACUAAGAGAACAAAUUAAGCCAGAACUUGGAAAGAAUUUUAAAGAGUCUUCCCUUGUUUCCAGUAGGAAAAGAAAACGCAGAGACCUGGGAAACGCGUGCUUUUCCCGUAGGAAAAAGAGCAGUUCCGCCCACCUAAAGGAACGGAGAAGACCCGCUGCCUGCGACGGUCUACACAUUCGAAAGGCAGCAACCUCCCUCAUGCCGCGGAAAGGCAAAAGGAUAGGAGAAACUGCAAGGCGGCGAGACAAGUUUCCUCAACGCAGAUCUGUGACUGACGACCAUUCCCGAACUCACAGUCUCCGCGGGCGCCGCAAACAGUCGACAGGGAGCGCGGCCCACGCAGCGGCCGCCGCACCCGUGGCCUCUACUUGCUUCUGCCCUGCUGCUCGGUGUAGGGGUUUGUUUGGAGCUCGCUCGAAGAAACAAACACGCUCCUCUGACACCCCCGGCCGCCCCCGCACGCACAUCUUCGGUCUCUGCAACCGCCCCGCCUGCACAGUGCCGGCCGUUUUUCGGGGCAGACUCUUUGUCUGCCUGAAACCCCGCAUUCCCGGGGCGUGCAGCGCAAGAGAACCCAGCUCCAAAACGUCUCCGAGGUUAAAUAUUGACCAGAACCUCCUUCAAGGGGCUGCAGCUGCCUGGACGAGGAAACUCCUUCCAAAGGCCCGUGCAAAGCCCGGAGGAGUGAAGAGUUGGCGCAGCGCUUACCUCGAAAGAUGUUUAAGACUGAACCAGUGAUUGUCUCCAACUCCGGGCACUCAGGGAAUCGCCUUUUCCGGUGUCCUGGCGCUCUGCGGACAAAUAAACAGCAGAGAGUAAACGGUGGCUGCGAAGGAAGGGAGCUGGAGAACCGGAGUUGGAAGUGCGGCCCUGCACGGGCGCCAGGGUGGCCCCCGGGGUGACGCGGACACGGAGGAGUCGCCAGGGCACUCGUCCAUGAGGCGCACUCGUUGCUCGAAAGGGUCCAGUCUAAGAAUGGCCUGCAGAUGAUGAUUUAUUUUUGUAAAAUAAAUACAUACUCCAUCUCCGCACCCACAUUCUCCUCUUUCUUUCUUUUUACGGGGGCUGGGAUGGGGGAAGGGGGUAGGGAGAAGAAAAUGGAUAGGCGGAGGAAGAUGGGAAGGUGGAAGAAGCUUUGCCGUUGGUGCCAGCUCUGCUCCAAGAGCUCCUCACGCACCUCAACUUGGGGAAUGUGAAUGCACGCUUUAUUUUCUUUCGCUAACAAAGGGAAGCCCUGUCUGGGAGCAUUCAAUCACAGACUCUCUUGAAACCUCGCUAAUAGUGCUCAUUUCUGUUUGACUCGAAAUCAGACCCCGGCGCAGUCUUUGGGCUGGGGGGCAGUCUUGAGAGGUUUUGUCUUCUGGUUUAUUCAAGCCCUGGGUGCCUCACUUCUCGGUCCCAGUGGGCUGGCGGGACCACCGCAGCGCCCAGUCCCUAAGAGUAGGCCAACUGCGGCUGGUUGGAAAUAGGGGAAGACUAGGAAGGAUGCAGACAUCUGACAAUACCCGAUCUGGGGGCCCUAACCAGCCUUGCCUUGCACAGC
rnacentral:lncRNA from 1 species